UCUCUGAAAGAGCAGCCCCGAUGCUCUUCUGUCACCAGAUAACAUCUGGCCAUAACAUCCACUCAUUUUCCCAAAGCAUCCUCCUCUGUCGGUACAACGAGGAGGAGGUGAUCCACCCCUUGCUCCACACCCCCAGCUGCAGCCAAACUGCAGGAGAAGGGCGGGUGGUGGUCCGCACACUUCCUACCCCCGACUCCAGGUGACGCUGAGCCUGGGGCUUACCUCAUGAAGUCUAGUGAUUUGACUGAGGAUGACUCCGAGCAAAACCGUGACUCUCUCCCCAAAACCGUGACUCUCUCCCCUUAACUAGCUGGUGCUCCUGGGCACAACUUUUCCUCCCCGAGCCUCAGUUUUCUCCUCUGUAAAUGAGUAUAACAAUAUUGCAACAGAUAAUGGAUGCCCAAAGCCUGGCACAGAGAACGCACUCAACCGAUGGGCUGGCACUACGGUUAGCAGCAAAUUCAGACCCUGGGGAGGCUCAAAGAAAACGAGACUCCCUCUCUGCGCGCCGGAGCCCAAAGAUAGACGCUCAGGGCGCGCACCCUGCCCAAGCCCGGGGAAGCUAAAGGUGUCUGCGCGUCGAGUGCUGGGGCCACAGUGUGGAGAGGGGAGCGAUGCCCCCGAGCGAGCCGCGCUCCUCCACCCUCCCCAGGCCAUCCGCGUCGCUAGGGUACCCAAGCGCGCCCAUCUCAAGCCGCCGGCUCCAGGGGUCCCGGCAGCCCUGCAGGGCUGCCCGGAUCCCAGUCUGGUCAGCGCGGAGCCUCGCCCAGCUGCUGCGGCCCCGCUCUCGCCCAAGCCCGCGCCCAGCUGCGACUCACCGGCGCCGGCUCCGGGGAAAGUUUGGUGGCGCGGUAGCAGCGGCGGCCAGGCUGCUGGGUGUGCCCCGAGGGCGGCGGCGGGGGCGCCGGGGAGCGCUCUGGGAGGCGGGGCGCGGGAGGAGGAGCCGCGCCGAGGGGGCCACCUGCGAGCAGCGGGGAAGGCGGGGACCGGGGCCCUGCGGGCCUGCAGCGCCCCAGCACCCGGCUCCACGCGCCCAGGGCCGCCCCCGCGGAGGGAGGGGGCACUAGGGACGCGCCUCUCGCUCGGACUCCCUUUCCCAGCUCGCGCCCCAGGUUUAGAGCUGCUACCGCUGGGUACCCUGGCUUGGGCUCUGCGCGGUGGACGGCUCCUUGGGUUUGGAAAGAGAGGUGGCAGAAGGGUCAGAACCUUGCCCAUCCUGAUGAACGAGCCCACAUUUCAAAAUGGGAUGUGUUUUAAUUAGCAUCCUGUGUCACCCCAGCAGCGACGUGAGGGGAGGAGUAGGGUGGGGGUGAGGCCGCUCCGCAGGUCCGCGGGAACCUGGGAGCUUGAGGAUUCUUCCUGGCUGCCUUCAUUUCCAGAGCUGGGAGAGAGAGAUCGAGUUUUUUUCUACCUCCUCGGCGCCGGGAAAACUCUAUUUGAACCUCUGAACAGUUAUGGCUUCAGAUUUUACCCUAGCACUUUCGAUGGGACCACCCAAGCUUACAGGGAGAGAAGGGUGUUUGAGAAGAUGGGACAUGGUGGGUUGGGGUGUGGGGGUGGGGGUCAGAGGGGUAUAUUAGCCUCCUUCCAGUAGGAGCGGUCCCACCAGCCCUGGUUGUGGACCACACAGAGCUGGGUCUGAGGCCCUGCUUCACAAGCCAUAUAUGGUAGGUCCAUGGUCCUUUUGCGUGGCCUCAGGGCCCAUGUUGGUAACAGGGAGGUUCAUAAAGACAGGUGCCAUUGUGCCAGAUGCUCUUCUAAGAGCUACAGGUGCUUACUCAUUUAAUCCUCACAACAACAAUAGGUCCUAGUAGGUAGGAACUAUUAUUACCCCUAUUUUACAGAUGAGGAAAUGAAGGCACAGCGAGAUUGAGUAACUUGCACAAGGUCACAUGUAGGAGAACCGAGCAUCCACCCUACGCAGCCUAGCCCCAAGGUCCAAGGUCCUGUUAUAUUAUAACUUCAUCUCUGUGGGGCUGUUGGAAAGUUUCACGAUGCCCUUUCUAUAAAGGGCUUAGUGCUCCAUAAAUGGUAGCUCAGAGAUCACUGAUCCCAUCUUCAAGGUGGGGAUUAAAGGACCUUGUGAUGCCCAGUGAUAUAUGAGACUUUGGCUUUGGGAUAAUGGCAGGCCAUGUCACUGUCCUGGGCAUUAUGGAUUCGCAAGGUCAGGGAUGUCCCAUUUGCUUUUUUGGCCAGCCCUUUGCACAUUAGCACAACCCCACAGCCAAGACUCACCCUGGAUCCACGAACGCCCUUUCCCACCCCCUGGUGAUUCUCCAGGGCCUCCAUAUUUUACACUUUACCAGACUAAUGCACCCUUUGGAACUGAGUUAACACUCAGGAUAGCAACUGUUAUAAACUCUAAAGAAAAUACAUUUCCUCUCUCUACAGCUGUGGAGCUUACGGGAGGUAAGGAGGGGAUGGAGGUGGGAGGAGGGAUGGGG
rnacentral:lncRNA from 1 species